CAAGUAUUAAAGGUCUUGCCUGCCCAGUGAAAUUUUUUAACGGCCGCGGUAUCCUAACCGUGCAAAGGUAGCGUAAUCACUUGCCCCCUAAUUAGGGGCCGGUAUGAAAGGCUAGAUGAGGACAGCCCUGUCUCUUAGGGGAGUGUAAUGAAACUGAUCCCCUAGUACAAAAGCUAGGAUACACACAUAAGACGAGAAGACCCUGCGGAGCUUUAAAACACUAAUGCUACCCCAAAGAUAAACAAUUUACAAAAUCUCUCCCACGCCCAAUAACCUAACAUGAGUUUUUAGUUGGGGCAACUAUGGAGCAAAACAAAACCUCCAAGUCAACACUAACCUUAGGCACACACGCCAAACGCAUCCUACCGCCCGACCCAGUAAAACUGACCAACGAACCAAGUUACCCCAGGGAUAACAGCGCCAUCCCCUUCAAGAGUCCCUAUCGCCGAGGGGGCUUACGACCUCGAUGUUGGAUCAGGACACCCCAGUGGCGCAGCCGCUACUAAAGGUCCGUUUGUUCAACGGUUAAU
rnacentral:rRNA from 1 species